rnacentral:rRNA from 1 species
GGGUCAGGAGGUUGGUCGUGCCACCGGUACGUACUGGUCUCACUGAUUCCUCCUUCCUGAAGAACCGUAAUGCCAUUAAUUUGGUGUUGCGUGGAAACAGGACUGUUACUUUGAAAAAAUUAGAGUGUUUAAAGCAAUCUAACGCUUGAAUACAUUAGCAUGGAAUAAUGAAAUAGGACGAUCGAUCCUAUUUUGUUGGUUUCUAGGAUUGACGUA